UACAGGGGGGGCAAGCGUUGCUCGGAAUUACUGGGCGUAAAGGGCUCGUAGGUGGCCAACUAAGUCAGACGUGAAAUCCCUCAGCUUAACUGGGGAACUGCGUCUGAUACUGGAUGGCUUGAGUUUGGGAGAGGGAUGCGGAAUUCCAGGUGUAGCGGUGAAAUGCGUAGAUAUCUGGAGAACACCGGUGGCGAAGGCGGCAUCCUGGACCAAUACUGACACUGAGGAGCGAAAGCCAGGGGAGCAAACGGGG
rnacentral:rRNA from 1 species